UUGCCCCUCUGUUGCUGAGCAAUUUUUUUGGGUCUGAUUUGGUCUGCGGUGUGCACGUGUUGGCCAUCGUGGUUGUGUCUUGGUCGUUCUUCACACCGAAGUCACUGCAAGGGUUUGCAAUUGCCAUCGUUUUUUCUGCUUCUUUCUUUCCAUCUUUCUCUCUUAAAUCCGAUCUCAUCGCUUAGAAAUCUGGUUGUUCUAUUUGUUUCUGCCAUCUUUCGUAAAAAAAUGGCGUCGUUUUAGGAAAGAUUGGUGCUGCAAUUUUACGGUUUUUGCUGCUGCGUGUUUGCAGGUCGUUUUCCAAUUAAGAUUAAUAUUAGCAGAAUAAAAAAUUUAAGCUACGUUUGAAUUUGGAUUCCAAUUCUUCUGCACUAAGUUGCUUUCAUCUAUCAAAUUGAUUGGCCAUUCUCUAUAUUUUGUUUUACACUAGUGUGUUUUGCGAUGUUGGCCGUUUUUGUGUUGGAUACGUCUGCUUACUAAAGGUUUUUUUUAAAUUCCAUCUUAGCAAGCUUUAAACAAAAAGAAAAAAAAAAGGUGACGAUAUUCAAAGCGUGACAGCAAACGCAUAAAAAAUUGAUUGACGCUGCUGCGUUUUUGAAGUUUCAGCUCUUAAAUUAUCAAAGCUUUUUCUCAAUAUUCCCGUGCUGUCAUGUCUGCCACGCCCGGUUUUGCCCAUCAGUUGCUGAGCAAUUUUUAGCCCUUCUACUGAAUGUGUAGUGAAUGGGCACUUUUACCCCUCUAUUAUCUUGGCUGCCACGUGUUUCCCAGCCUUCGAAACUACUGUUUCGUUCUGUAGGUUGAGUGUUUGUCACGUGUCGGUGAUCUAAUGGGGUUUGCUUUUUUAGCUUUCGUCCCUUAUUUUCUUCUCUCCCUCGACUUUCAUUUUAGUUUGGACUCCCGUGUUUUCUCCGACUUCUGUGUUUUCUUGGUUUUGUGAGUUUUGUUCCCUUUCCUUGCA